GACGAGCGCUGGCGGCGUGCUUAACACAUGCAAGUCGAACGGAAAGGCCCUGCUUUUGUGGGGUGCUCGAGUGGCGAACGGGUGAGUAACACGUGAGUAACCUGCCCUUGACUUUGGGAUAACUUCAGGAAACUGGGGCUAAUACCGGAUAGGAGCUCCUGCUGCAUGGUGGGGGUUGGAAAGUUUCGGCGGUUGGGGAUGGACUCGCGGCUUAUCAGCUUGUUGGUGGGGUAGUGGCUUACCAAGGCUUUGACGGGUAGCCGGCCUGAGAGGGUGACCGGCCACAUUGGGACUGAGAUACGGCCCAGACUCCUACGGGAGGCAGCAGUGGGGAAUAUUGCACAACGGGCGGAAGCCUGAUGCAGCAACGCCGCGUGCGGGAUGACGGCCUUCGGGUUGUAAACCGCUUUCGCCUGUGACGAAGCGUGAGUGACGGUAAUGGGUAAAGAAGCACCGGCUAACUACGUG
rnacentral:rRNA from 1 species